AUUGAACGCUGGCGGCAGGCUUAACACAUGCAAGUCGAGCGGGGAAAGGUAGCUUGCUACCUGACCUAGCGGCGGACGGGUGAGUAAUGCUUAGGAAUCUGCCUAUUAGUGGGGGACAACAUUCCGAAAGGAAUGCUAAUACCGCAUACGCCCUACGGGGGAAAGCAGGGGAUCUUCGGACCUUGCGCUAAUAGAUGAGCCUAAGUCAGAUUAGCUAGUUGGUGGGGUAAAGGCCUACCAAGGCGACGAUCUGUAGCGGGUCUGAGAGGAUGAUCCGCCACACUGGGACUGAGACACGGCCCAGACUCCUACGGGAGGCAGCAGUGGGGAAUAUUGGACAAUGGGCGAAAGCCUGAUCCAGCCAUGCCGCGUGUGUGAAGAAGGCCUUUUGGUUGUAAAGCACUUUAAGCGAGGAGGAGGCUACCGAGAUUAAUACUCUUGGAUAGUGGACGCUACUCGCAGAAUAAGCACCGGCUAACUCUGUGCCAGCCGCCGCGGUAAUAC
rnacentral:rRNA from 1 species